rfam:Neotoma lepida isolate 417 scaffold_85908, whole genome shotgun sequence.
UAGCUCAGUGGUUAAGAGCACUGACUGCUCUUCCAGAGGACCUGGGUUCAAUUCCCAG